UACGAAGGGGGCUAGCGUUGCUCGGAAUCACUGGGCGUAAAGGGCGCGUAGGCGGCGUUUUAAGUCGGGGGUGAAAGCCUGUGGCUCAACCACAGAAUGGCCUUCGAUACUGGGACGCUUGAGUAUGGUAGAGGUUGGUGGAACUGCGAGUGUAGAGGUGAAAUUCGUAGAUAUUCGCAAGAACACCGGUGGCGAAGGCGGCCAACUGGACCAUUACUGACGCUGAGGCGCGGAAGCGUGGGGAGCAAACAGG
rnacentral:rRNA from 1 species